rnacentral:rRNA from 1 species
UACGUAGGUGGCAAGCGUUUGUCCGGAAUUAUUGGGCGUAAAGCGCGCGCAGGCGGUCCUUUAAGUCUGAUGUGAAAGCCCACGGCUCAACCGUGGAGGGUCAUUGGAAACUGGGGGACUUGAGUGCAGGAGAGAAGAGUGGAAUUCCACGUGUAGCGGUGAAAUGCGUAGAGAUGUGGAGGAACACCAGUGGCGAAGGCGGCUCUCUGGGACGGUACUGACGCUGAGACGCGAAAGCGUGGGGGAGCGAACAGG